rnacentral:rRNA from 1 species
UAAUACGUAGGGUCCGAGCGUUGUCCGGAGUUACUGGGCGUAAAGCGCGCGCAGGCGGCGCGGUAAGCAUGGCGUGAAAGCCCCCGGCUCAACCGGGGAGGGUCGUCGUGGACUGCCGCGCUUGAGGGCGGUAGGGGCUGGUGGAAUUCCCGGUGUAGUGGUGAAAUGCGUAGAGAUCGGGAGGAACACCCGUGGCGAAGGCGGCCAGCUGGGCCGACCCUGACGCUGAGGCGCGAAGGCGUGGGGAGCGAACGGGAUUAGAUACCCCGGUAGUCCACGCAGUAAACGAUGCAGACUAGGCGUGGGGGGACUUGACCCCCUCCGUGCCGGAGCCAACGCGGUAAGUCUGCCGCCUGGGGAGUACGGCCGCAAGGCUA